rnacentral:tRNA from 1 species
GGUAAAAUGGCUGAGGUUAUAUAGGUAAUAGAUUGUAAAUCUAUUUAGGAGAUUUUUCUCUUUUACCA